GAUGCUGGUGGUAACACCAGGCGUGCACCUGCCAGGCGAACCCUGGGCUGUUUGUUGCAGUGCCAGUUCUAGUGCUCCUUGCGGCUGCCCAGCUCACCCACCCACAUGAGACGGGCUGAUGUUGCUGCUUUGAAGGGGGACUUGGGUGGGCUGGGUUUGGCUCCGUACGGUGCUUGACGUGCUGUGACCCGUUUCAGGCUGCCCAGGCUUUGCUGAAGUUCUGCAGACCUUCAGUACCUGCAAGGGGAUGCUGGGCGAGAUCCUGUCUGCAUUCGAGUUCAUGGAUGCUGUGUGCAUGCAGCUGGUCAGGCGCCAUCUCCACCUGGCCAGCCCGGUGCAAGAAAGUCCGUUUUACGUCCUCAUCGAGACUUCAGGCUCCAAUGCAGGGCACGAUGCUGAGAAGCUGGGCCGCUUCCUGGAGCACGCGCUGGGCUCCGGCCUGGUGAUCGAUGGGACCAUGGCCACCGACCAGAGGAAAGUCAAGAUGCUGUGGGCCCUGAGGGAAAGGAUCACAGAGGCGCUGAGCCGGGAUGGCUACGUGUACAAGUACGACCUCUCCCUCCCCGUGGAGCGGCUCUACGACAUUGUGACUGACCUGCGCGCCCGCCUCGGCCCGCACGCCAAGCACGUGGUGGGCUAUGGCCACCUUGGAGACGGUAACCUGCACCUCAACGUGACAGCGGAGGCCUUCAGCCCGUCGCUCCUGGGUGCCCUGGAGCCCCACGUGUAUGAGUGGACGGCCGGGCAGCAGGGCAGUGUCAGCGCGGAGCACGGCGUGGGCUUCAGGAAGAGGAAUGUCCUGGGCUACAGCAAGCCACCCGAGGCCUUGCAGCUCAUGCAGCAGCUCAAGGCCCUGCUGGACCCCAAGGGCAUCCUCAACCCCUACAAG
rnacentral:sRNA from 1 species